CCUCCCGUGGAGCAGAAGGGCAAAAGCUCGCUUGAUC
rnacentral:piRNA from 1 species